rnacentral:rRNA from 1 species
UCUGUUACUCCAGCUUCUUCGGCACCUGUUUUACAGACACCUAAAGCUACAUCGUCAACGUUAUAUUUUGAUAGUUUGACGGUUAAUGCUGGUAAUGGUGGUUUUCUUCAUUGCAUUCAGAUGGAUACAUCUGUCAACGCCGCUAAUCAGGUUGUUUCUGUUGGUGCUGAUAUUGCUUUUGAUGCCGACCCUAAAUUUUUUGCCUGUUUGGUUCGCUUUGAGUCUUCUUCGGUUCCGACUACCCUCCCGACUGCCUAUGAUGUUUAUCCUUUGGAUGGUCGCCAUGAUGGUGGUUAUUAUACCGUCAAGGACUGUGUGACUAUUGACGUCCUUCCCCGUACGCC